UGCUCUUAACUUUCCAAAACGUUCUCCUUUUGUGCUGAAAUUUUUCAUGUUUGAUCUCUAUCUGAAGGUGAAUUGUUCUGAAAAGUUUCAGC
rnacentral:pre_miRNA from 1 species